rnacentral:rRNA from 1 species
GACGAACCGUGCGAACGUUAUUCGGAAUCACUGGGCUUAAAGCGCGUGUAGGCGGGACGGCACGUCGGUCGUUGAAAUCCCCCGGCUCAACCGGGGAACCGGCGCCGAUACGACCGUCCUGGAGGGACGUAGGGGGACCUGGAACUUCCGGUGGAGCGGUGAAAUGCGUUGAGAUCGGAAGGAACGCCCGUGGCGAAAGCGAGGUCCUGGACGUUUUCUGACGCUGUGACGCGAAAGCCAGGGGAGCGAACGGG